GAUCCUGGCUCAGGAUGAACGCUGGCGGCGUGCUUAACACAUGCAAGUCGAGCGAAGCAUUCAAUUGGAUUUCUUCGGAAUGAAGCUUGAGUGACUUAGCGGCGGACGGGUGAGUAACGCGUGGGUAACCUGCCUCAUACAGGGGAAUAACAGUUAGAAAUGACUGCUAAUGCCGCAUAAGCGCACACUAUCGCAUGAUAGAGUGUGAAAAACUCCGGUGGUAUGAGAUGGACCCGCGUCUGAUUAGCUAGUUGGUGGGGUAACGGCCUACCAAGGCGACGAUCAGUAGCCGACCUGAGAGGGUGACCGGCCACAUUGGGACUGAGAUACGGCCCAGACUCCUACGGGAGGCAGCAGUGGGGGAUAUUGCGCAAUGGGGGCAACCCUGACGCAGCAACGCCGCGUGAAGGAAGAAGGUUUUCGGAUCGUAAACUUCUUUAAGUGGGGAAGAUAGUGACGGUACCCACAGAAUAAGCCACGGCUAACUACGUG
rnacentral:rRNA from 1 species